UUGCUUCCACAGCACAUAUACUAAAAUUGCAACAAUGCAGAGAAGAUUAGCAUUGCCCCUGUGUGAGGAUGGCACACAAAUACAAUAGCGUGAAAAGAAUAAA